rnacentral:rRNA from 1 species
UGGCGGCGUGCUUAACACAUGCAAGUCGAACGAGAGGAGAAGGAAGCUUGCUUCUUUCAAAUCUAGUGGCAAACGGGUGAGUAACACGUAAACAACCUGCCUUCAGGAUGGGGACAACAGACGGAAACGACUGCUAAUACCGAAUACGUUCCUUAGGUCGCAUGACUUUAGGAAGAAAGGGUGGCCUCUACUUGUAAGCUAUCGCUUUACGAUGGGUCUGCGUCUGAUUAGCUAGUUGGUGGGGUAACGGCCUACCAAGGCGACGAUCAGUAGCCGGUCUGAGAGGAUGAACGGCCACAUUGGAACUGAGACACGGUCCAGACUCCUACGGGAGGCAGCAGUGGGGAAUCUUCCGCAAUGGGCGCAAGCCUGACGGAGCAACGCCGCGUGAGUGAAGAAGGGUUUCGACUCGUAAAGCUCUGUUGUCGGGGACGAAUGUGGAGGUUGUGAAUAACAGCUUCCAAUGACGGUACCUGACGAGGAAGCCACGGCUAACUACGUG